rnacentral:rRNA from 1 species
CCUACGGGUGGCAGCAGUGAGGAAUAUUGGUCAAUGGGCGCUAGCCUGAACCAGCCACGUCGCGUGAAGGAUGACUGCCCUAUGGGUUGUAAACUUCUUUUAUAUGGGAAUAAAGUGCAGUAUGUAUACUGCUUUGCAUGUACCUUAUGAAUAAGGAUCGGCUAACUCCGUGCCAGCAGCCGCGGUAAUACGGAGGAUCCGAGCGUUGUCCGGAUUUAUUGGGUUUAAAGGGAGCGUAGGCGGGUUGUUAAGUCAGUUGUGAAAGUUUGCGGCUCAACCGGAAAAGUGCAGUGGAUACUGGCAUCCUUGAGUACAGAAGAGGGAGGCGGAAUGCGUUGUGUAGCGGUGAAAUGCGUAGAUAUCACGAAGAACUCCGAUGGCGAAGGCAGCCUGCUGGACUGUAACUGACGCUGAUGCUCGAAAGUGUGGGUAGCAAACAGGAUUAGAUACCCCAGUAGUC